AGCGAACGCUGGCGGCGUGCCUAACACAUGCAAGUCGAACGUGAAAGGGAGCAAUCCUGAGUAAAGUGGCGUACGGGUGAGUAACGCGUAGGUAAUCUACCCCAGAGUCUGGAAUAACCUGCCGAAAGGCGGGCUAAUACUGGAUAGAGCGAUGGAAUCCGUAAUUGGGUUUUUCGGGAAAGGGAGCUCGCAAGAGCCUUCGUUUUGGGAUGAGCCUGCGUCUCAUUAGCUAGUUGGUGGGGUAAAGGCCCACCAAGGCAAUGAUGGGUAGCUGGUCUGAGAGGAUGAUCAGCCACACUGGAACUGAAACACGGUCCAGACUCCUACGGGAGGCAGCAGUGGGGAAUCUUGCGCAAUGGACGAAAGUCUGACGCAGCCACGCCGCGUGAGUGAAGAAGGCCUUCGGGUUGUAAAGCUCUGUCGCCCGGGACGAAAAUCUUAUGAGUGAAUAGCUCAUAGGACUGACGGUACCGGGAGAGGAAGCACCGGCUAACUCCGUGCCAGCAGCCGCGGUAACAC
rnacentral:rRNA from 1 species